rnacentral:rRNA from 1 species
CCGAUUCGGGGAGGUAGUGACAAUAAAUAACAAUACAGGGCCAACGGUCUUGUUAUUGGAAUGAGAACAAUUUAAAUAACUUAACAAGGAUCAAUUAGAGGGCAAGUCUGGUGCCAGCAGCCGCGGUAAUUCCAGCUCUAAUAGCGUAUAUUAAAGUUGUUGCAGUUAAAAAGCUCGUAGUCGGAUGUCGGGCUCGGGCAGGCUGUCGGCUUCGGUCGGACGGCAGGCUCGGGUCUUUCUGCCUGAGGAUCCCGUUGCACUUUAUUGUGGGGCGUGGGGACGCAGGCCGUUUACUUUGAAAAAAUUAGAGUGUUCAAAGCAGGCCUACGCUUGAAUACAUUAGCAUGGAAUAAUGGAAUAGGACUUUGGUGCUAUUUUGUUGGUUUAUGGGACCGAAGUAAUGAUUAACAGGGACAGUUGGGGCCGUUUAUAUUUCGUUGUCAGAGGUGAAAUUCUUGGAUUUACGAAAGAUAAACUUCUGCGAAAGCAUUCGGCAAGGAUGUUUUCAUUGAUCAAGAACGAAAGUUAGGGGAUCGAAGACGAUCAGAUACCGUCGUAGUCUUAACCAUAAACUAUGCCGACUAGGGAUCAGUGGAUGUCAAUUUGCGACUCCAUUGGCACCUUGUGAGAAAUCAAAGUUUUUGGGUUCCGGGGGGAGUAUGGUCGCAAGGCUGAAACUUAAAGGAAUUGACGGAAGGGCACCACCAGGAGUGGAGCCUG